UCCUGCGUAGGAUCUGAGGAGU
rnacentral:miRNA from 1 species